GACGAACCGUCCAAACGUUAUUCGGAAUCACUGGGCUUACAGAGUUCGUAGGCGGUCUGGAAAGUUGGGUGUGAAAUCCCUCGGCUCAACCGAGGAACUGCGCUUGAAACUACCAGACUCGAGGGAGAUAGAGGAAAGCGGAACUGAUGGUGGAGCGGUGAAAUGCGUUGAUAUCCUAAGGAACACCGGUGGCGAAAGCGGCUCACUGGACCUCUUCUGACGCUGAGGCACGAAAGCUAGGGUAGCAAACGGG
rnacentral:rRNA from 1 species